UCCCUGGUGGUCCAGUGGCUAAGACUUUGCGCUUCUAACGCAGGGGGCCCAGGUUUGAUCCCCAGUUAGGGAA
rnacentral:tRNA from 1 species